rnacentral:rRNA from 1 species
CAGUCGCCGCGGGAAAACGGAGGGGGCUAGCGUUGUUCGGAAUUACUGGGCGUAAAGCGCACGUAGGCGGCUUGGUAAGUUAGAGGUGAAAGCCCGGAGCUCAACUCCGGAAUUGCCUUUAAGACUGCCGAGCUAGUAGGUGAGAGAGGUAAGUGGAAUUCCGAGUGUAGAGGUGAAAUUCGUAGAUAUUCGGAAGAACACCAGUGGCGAAGGCGGCUUACUGGCUCAUUCUAGACGCUGAGGUGCGAAAGCGUGGGGAGCAAACAGGAUUAGAUACCCCCGUAGUCCCUGUCUCUUAUAC